rnacentral:rRNA from 1 species
GGGACCCGGACUGGUAGUAGGCAAGCGAUGGGGUGACGCAGGAAGGUAGUCCUACCGGUGAGUGGUAGUACCGGUGCAAGGGUGUGGCCCGUCCGAUAGGUAAAUCCGUCGGGCAUGUGGGUGAGGCCUGACGCAUAGCCGAAUGAGGCGAAUUGGAUGAUCCUAUGCUGCCGAGAAAAGCCUCUAGCGAGUUCUUAGCGGCCCGUACCCCAAACCAACUCAGGUGGUCAGGUAGAGAAUACCAAGGCGAUCGAGCGAACUGUGGUUAAGGAACUCGGCAAAAUGCCCCCGUAACUUCGGGAGAAGGGGGGCCAUUCACCGUCAACACCUUCACGGUGGGUAGCGGUGGGUGGUCGCAGAGACCAGUGAGAAGCGACUGUUUACUAAAAACACAGGUCCGUGCGAAGUCGAAAGACGAUGUAUACGGACUGACGCCUGCCCGGUGCUGGAACGUUAAGGGGACGGGUUAGCUCUUCGGGGCGAAGCUCAGAACUCAAGCGCCAGUAAACGGCGGUGGUAACUAUAACCAUCCUAAGGUAGCGAAAUUCCUUGUCGGGUAAGUUCCGACCUGCACGAAUGGCGUAACGACUUCUCAGCUGUCUCAACCACAGGCUCGGCGAAAUUGCACUACGAGUAAAGAUGCUCGUUACGCGCGGCAGGACGGAAAGACCCCGGGACCUUCACUAUAGCUUGAUAUUGGUGUUCGGUUCGGUUUGUGUAGGAUAGGUGGGAGACUGUGAAGCGGGCACGCCAGUGUUCGUGGAGUCGUCGUUGAAAUACCACUCUGGUCGAAUUGGAUGUCUAACCUCGGUCCGUGAUCCGGAUCAGGAACAGUGUCAGGUGGGUAGUUUAACUGGGGCGGUUGCCUCCCAAAAUGUAACGGAGGCGCCCAAAGGUUCCCUCAGCCUGGUUGGCAAUCAGGUGUCGAGUGCAAGUGCACAAGGGAGCUUGACUGCGAGACCGACGGGUCGAGCAGGAGCGAAAGCUGGGACUAGUGACCCGGCACCGGCAUGUGGAAGCGGUGUCGCUCAACGGAUAAAAGGUACCCCGGGGAUAACAGGCUGAUCUUCCCCAAGAGUCCAUAUCGACGGGAUGGUUUGGCACCUCGAUGUCGGCUCGUCGCAUCCUGGGGCUGGAGUAGGUCCCAAGGGUUGGGCUGUUCGCCCAUUAAAGCGGUACGCGAGCUGGGUUUAGAACGUCGUGAGACAGUUCGGUCCCUAUCCGCCGUGCGCGUAAGAGACUUGAGAAGAGCUGUCCCUAGUACGAGAGGACCGGGACGGACGAACCUCUGGUGUGCCAGUUGUUCCGCCAGGAGCACUGCUGGUUGGCUACGUUCGGCAGGGAUAACCGCUGAAAGCAUCUAAGCGGGAAGCUCGCUUCAAGAUGAGGUCUCUCACCGGGUGAACCGGGUAAGGCCCCCGCCCAGACCAGCGGGUUGAUAGGCCGGAGGUGGAAGCGCAGCAAUGCGUGGAGCUGACCGGUACUAAUAGGCCGAGGGCUUGACCA